rnacentral:rRNA from 1 species
AGGCUACAAUGGUGGUACAACGGGCUGCGAUCCCGCGAGGGUGAGCGAAUCCCUAAAAACCGGCCUCAGUUCAGAUUGGAGUCUGCAACUCGACUCCAUGAAGUCGGAGUCGCUAGUAAUCGCGGAUCAGCAAAGCCGCGGUGAAUGCGUUCUCGGGGAUUGUACACACCGCCCGUCAAGUCACGAAAGCUGGCAACACCCGAAGUCAGUGGCCCAACCAUUUUAUGGAGGGAGCUGCCGAAGGUGGGGUUGGUAAUUGGGACUAAGUCGUAACAAGGUAACC